UGUUUGUGUGUGGAUACAAGGGGAUGUUGGUGAGUAGUGGGACGCUAAUUUUAACUAGGUCGGCAGCCAUUUUCACCUGCUAGCUAACGUUAGUUUGAAAGGUUUUGUUUCCCACUUGGGGCGCUGUUUGUGAGAAGUCCAAGUGAAGCAGUUUGACGUCGAUGGACAUUAACAUUGCCACCCGUUAGCUAACUUAGCUAGCUACUUUUCUCACUGGAGGGGCUUUUUGUGAGUAACAUUAAUGAACAACGUUGUUUUAAUAAGUUCAACGGACAUCACCUGUAGCCACCGGUUUGCUGGCUUAGGUAGCUAAAUUGGCUUUUUCGAUUGACGCGCUGUUUGUGAACUUGGAAAACUGUCGUUUUAACCAGUUCAACGGGAAAUUUUUCUGUAGCGCCUUGGAGGACGCCGCCCCGCUUUAAACCGCCUCUCGGCAGAUUAAGAAGCGCCGUGGUCGAGAGGCCCGCGCAUUCAUGAGGGAGAAAGGGAGCGCAAACACGGUGUAUCGUUACUAACUUAAUUUUCUCACUGGAUGGCUUUUGUGAGCAGUGUAAAACCUUUGUUGUAACCAGUUCAACUGGACAUUUUUCACCUGUAGCGUCUUGGUGACACCGCCCGAUUUGAACCUCCACGCUGAACCCGCUCUUUGGAGAAAAUAAGUUGUUCAGAAACAAGCCUGCCAUCAGCCAGAUGUUACAUCGAUGGCCAGCUCUUUUCACAGAAAGCCAGGUUUGUUACGAGCGGUGGGGAAAAGUCUGCAAGAGAAUUUCUUUGAUGAACUUGACCGUUUCUCUCCAAGGCUGAUGGACCUCUUUAGGAAGAAGAAAGGCCUGACCGGCCAGCUUUUACAUCAGACAAAGACCACUUAGCCAACAGACAUCAGGUGCCUAUGUCUUCGGGGACUGCCCGUCGUCUUGCCAGAUGAUUCUUCUGCCUUCUUCAAGACAUGCUCUGUAAGUUAAUUAUUUUUUGUAAAUGUUGCAGGUGCAUGCUCCUUUGUCUCAUUUUUAGCUGUUAAUGAACACUGCCAUUCAUUUUCAGAAUUAUUUGAUCAGAAUCAGUGUCUCCAUUAAGUCUCUAUUUUAUGGCCGAACAAAGAUAGUUUACCCACUUUCAGUUCCAGUCCUAUUGAAAAGUAGAAAAUUGCUCCCAAUAACUAAGGUUGUAUGAAUCCUUUUACAUUAGCUCAAUUCGUUUUUUGACUUAACUGUCACCAUUUGGAACUUGUGAAAAUGUUUUUGGGUCUUUAACUCAAAUGGGGAUAUCUGAUUGCACUUGUUAAAUUCUGGUUGCUCCAGUCAUCAACUAACUUAUUGUAUAUGUUACUUUCAACUGGUAACGUAAAAAAAUUUAAAAAGCAAUUAAGGUGAAGGGUACUGAGAGUCAUGAAAAAUUUACUUUCUGCACGACUGAAAGUGGGUGAACUCCAUAUUUGGGGCGAAGUGUUGCAACGUGUACAGAUCCGAAUAUGGCAUUUGAUAAAAAUUCAAGACUGGUAUUCC
rnacentral:lncRNA from 1 species